GCCGACAGCUACUGUACACCACCCUGAAAGAGACUGAUCUCAGCUGAUCUCGGAAGCUAAGCAGUGCUGGGCCUGGUUAGUAUCUGGAUGGGAGACCAUCUUGGAAUACCAGGUGUUGUAGGCU
rnacentral:rRNA from 1 species